CCUACGGGGGGCUGCAGUGAGGAAUAUUGGGCAAUGGGCGAAAGCCUGACCCAGCAACGCCGCGUGGAGGAUGAAGGCCUUAGGGUUGUAAACUCCUUUUGUGGGGGAAAAGAAUGGAUGGUACCCCAAGAAUAAGUCACGGCUAACUACGUGCCAGCAGCCGCGGUAAUACGUAGGUGACAAGCGUUAUCCGGAAUUACUGGGCGUAAAGCGCACGCAGGCGGUCAGAUAAGUCUGAUGUGAAACCUUCUGGCUUAACCAGAAGACGUCGUUGGAUACUGUUUGACUUGAGGCGAUGAGAGGAAUGCGGAAUCCCCGGUGUAAUGGUGGAAUAUGUAGAUAUCGGGGGGAACAUCUGAGGCGAAAGCGGCAUUCUGGCAUUAGCCUGACGCUCAUGUGCGAAAGCGUGGGGAGCAAACGGGAUUAGAUACCCCAGUAGUC
rnacentral:rRNA from 1 species